GAUGAACGCUGGCGGCGUGCUUAACACACGCAAGUCGAACGAGAAAUGGAGACGGAAACCUUCGGGCGGAAGGCUUCAUUUCGAGUGGCGGACGGGUGAGUAACGCGUGGGUAACCUGCCUCAUACAGGGGGAUAACAGUUGGAAACGACUGUUAAUACCGCAUAAGACCACAGCACCGCAUGGUGCGGGGGUAAAAACUCCGGUGGUAUGAGAUGGACCCGCGUUCGAUUAGCCAGUUGGCGGGGUAACGGCCCACCAAAGCGACGAUCGAUAGCCGAUCUGAGAGGAUGACCGGCCACAUUGGGACUGAGACACGGCCCAAACUCCUACGGGAGGCAGCAGUGGGGAAUAUUGCACAAUGGGGGAAACCCUGAUGCAGCGACGCCGCGUGAGUGAAGAAGUACUUCGGUAUGUAAAGCUCUAUCAGCAGGGAAGAAAAUGACGGUACCUGAGUAAGAAGCCCCGGCUAACUACGUG
rnacentral:rRNA from 1 species